rnacentral:rRNA from 1 species
UACAGAGGUGGCAAGCGUUGUUCGGAAUUACUGGGCGUAAAGGGCGCGUAGGCGGCCUACUAAGUCAGACGUGAAAUCCCCCGGCUUAACCUGGGAACUGCGUCUGAUACUGGAAGGCUUGAGGAUGGGAGAGGGAUGUAGAAUUCCAGGUGUAGCGGUGAAAUGCGUAGAUAUCUGGAGGAAUACCGGUGGCGAAGGCGGCCUUCUGGACGAUGACUGACGCUGAGACGCGAAAGCCAGGGGAGCAAACGGG